rnacentral:rRNA from 1 species
AAUAUUGCACAAUGGGCGAAAGGCUGAUCCAGCAAUGCCGCGUGCAGGAUGAAGGNCUNNGGGUUNUNAACUGCUUUUGUACGNNNNNAAAAGUUUUGGGCUAAUACCCUGGGAUUAUGACGGUACCGUAAGAAUAAGCACCGGCUAACUGCGUGCCAGCAGCCGCGGUAAUACGUAGGGUGCAAGCGUUAAUCGGAUUUACUUGGCGUAAAGCGUGCGCAGGCGGUUUUGUAAGACAGUGGUGAAAUCCCCGGGCUCAACCUGGGAACUGCCAUUGUGACUGCAAGGCUGGAGUGCGGCAGAGGGGGAUGGAAUUCCGCGUGUAGCAGUGAAAUGCGUAGAUAUGCGGAGGAACACCGAUGGCGAAGGCAAUCCCCUGGGCCUGCACUGACGCUCAUGCACGAAAGCGUGGGGAGCAAACAGG